rnacentral:rRNA from 1 species
AGAGUUUGAUCCUGGCUCAGGACGAACGCUGGCGGCGUGCCUAAUACAUGCAAGUCGAGCGGACGAAUCGAAAGCUUGCUUUUGAUUCGUUAGCGGCGGACGGGUGAGUAACACGUGGGCAACCUGCCCUGUAGACGGGGAUAACACCGAGAAAUCGGUGCUAAUACCGGAUAACACGAAAUGUCGCAUGACGUUUCGUUGAAAGACGGCGCAAGCUGUCGCUACAGGAUGGGCCCGCGGCGCAUUAGCUAGUUGGUGAGGUAACGGCUCACCAAGGCGACGAUGCGUAGCCGACCUGAGAGGGUGAUCGGCCACACUGGGACUGAGACACGGCCCAGACUCCUACGGGAGGCAGCAGUAGGGAAUCUUCCGCAAUGGACGAAAGUCUGACGGAGCAACGCCGCGUGAGCGAAGAAGGCCUUCGGGUCGUAAAGCUCUGUUGUUAGGGAAGAACAAGUAACGCAGUAACUGGCGUUACCGUGACGGUACCUAACGAGAAAGCCACGGCUAACUACGUGCCAGCAGCCGCGGUAAUACGUAGGUGGCAAGCGUUGUCCGGAAUUAUUGGGCGUAAAGCGCGCGCAGGCGGUUCCUUAAGUCUGAUGUGAAAGCCCACGGCUCAACCGUGGAGGGUCAUUGGAAACUGGGGGACUUGAGUGCAGAAGAGGAGAGCGGAAUUCCACGUGUAGCGGUGAAAUGCGUAGAGAUGUGGAGGAACACCAGUGGCGAAGGCGGCUCUCUGGUCUGUAACUGACGCUGAGGCGCGAAAGCGUGGGG